ensembl:lincRNA
GGGAGUUUCUCGCCGGCCGCUGCCCGCUGCUCCGCACCCGGGGCCGUCCGCGGAGGUCCCGCCCGUCCCCUCCCGCUGCUGGCUCUCUGGCCGCGGGAAGGCCGGACCUGUCGUGGCUUGCACCGGGAUCUGCGCCCUCCUGCCGGAGGCUGGCUCUCGCCUCUCCUCCCUUCCUCGGUUCUGCGCCGCCACCCCUCACCCACGCCGCUGAUUCUCCCUCCCUUUGCACACUCCCGUGGGACAGGGAGAGUUACAGGCUUAAGACUUCAUCUCAUUGUGGAAAGCAAGAGACCAAGCCAAAAACUUUGGUCGUGCUUUUCAACAUCUCUGGUCAAAAGAGGUCGCCAAUCUGGUUUUCUCCCAUUGCUGCGUGUUAGAGGGGUGUGGUGCCAUCUCAUUGAACAAUGAGGAUAUUUAGCUCCCCUCAGACCUACCCUCAGAGUUGGAUGAGCUAUCCUCGGAGUUGGAUGCCACCACCGGCAGCAGCAAAAGCGAAGGCAACUCAUGAUUCUGCCUCAGAAGCAAUCGAAUAAAACAUUUUGAAAAUGAAUAAAUGGACUUUUAAAUUUUAAUCAUCGCUAACCUUGGGGCCUCGAUUCUGUCAAUUUGUGUGUGGGCACAGUUCUUACCAACUGCCUUGGCAAAUUGUGAAUGCAAGUGAGGGCAGGAUUUGUCCUAAGUUUAAAUUGUACUGCUGGAGUGAUUUCUUUUGCCUGAGGCAUCAUUAUUCACGUGGCAUGUUUUCUAAAGUAGAAACAAAGAUAGAAUAUUAAAUAAAAUUCCAACAGGGGGAAAUACUCUGCCUGUAGAAAAACAUUUCCAAGGUCAAGAAACCACAAGAGAACAACAAAGCGAAGUUGGUCUCAGGAGUUUACCAUCUUCUGGGUGAACAUCAGCUGAGCAAGGGACUCAGAACUGCAUUUUGGCCAGAUGAACAGAGUACUCUUAAAUAUAUAGCUCCUUCUUUCUUGGUGAUUUGUUUUCUUGACAAUAGAAUCAUUAUUUACAAAACAAAUAUUUAUUGAGCACCUACUAUUUAAUCAAUCACUGGUCUGGGUGCUAGGGUUCAGUAGGAAACUCAAUAGACAUGGCCAAUAGUUUUUUAAAAAAUCAAAUACCCUCCAAAUAUAUUAGACAAUACCAAGCCACAAUACCCAAAACAAGAAGAUGGUCAGUUCUUAACUAUGAGUUUUUAAUUGAAAGGGAGAUAACAUACUUCUAAGCUUCUGAUAUUGCAUAUAAAUGAAGAAAUAAUAGCCACACAUAGCUUACUAGGGACAGUAAGGAAGUCAGCUUGUAUGCAAUACAUGUUAUCCCAGGCAACCAAAUUUUACGAAAGAAAAGAGGGAGAUAGGGAAAAUCUAGGGAAGGAAAAAAGGGAGGCAGAAAGGAAGGAAGGAAGGAAGGAUGGAAAGAAAGAAGGCAAGCAAAUGAUAAACCAAGAAAGGAAAUAGUAUUUUUAAGGCAAUGCAAAAGGAAGACAGAUGACCUAAAUUUCUACAUCCAAGAAACACCUCAUAGCUGUCGCUUCCAAGGAUGAGUUCAUAUUUUUGAUACAUUAUCAAAAGCAGGCAACACAUCUAGGCUUGCCUGGCCCCAGGAAUUCACAACUCUACAGCCUGAGCUUCCAGUAAGGCUGGAACCAGAAGACAGUCCCCAGCCAGAGUGGAUGCUUGCUAGAGAUACCUUCUGCUGCUGCUUUGGAACCCUCCCCUGGCUCCCAUUCCCCUGGCUCCCAUUCUACUGUCUGACACUUCGUUCAGACCCAUUUCCCAUUCAACAUACAAUCCUAAUCUAUCCGGCAUCCCACAGUUGCACCUAGGUGCUAGAGAAAGAAGAUCUACUUAUGAGUCACAUGGAAAUUUGAUUGCCUUAGCUUUGAAAGGUGUGAAUUUUUUCUCUGAUAAUUGAGGAAGACCAUUUCGAAUGAAAAUACUAAUAUCAAGCCACAAAAAUGGGGGAGACAAGGGUCCUAUCAUGAAUAGAAGCAGAAGGUGAGACAGAUACGCCAGUCAUCUGGAAAAAGAUAAAAGCUAUUAAAAGCUGGGGCAUUUUUCAGCUUUUCCUGCUGAUUUACUGCCUCCCUCCCUCCUGAACCAUCAUUUGGUAUCAUUCCCAGAGCUAGGGCCAUUGAAGUAGUAUUGCCUUUUGGCAAAUACAAGUAGCUAGUGAUGUGGCAUCAUUCCUAGAAAAAUUGUUUAGCAGAAGUGCUGGAGUUUUGAAAAUGGCAUUUCAGUCUAGCAGUUCCAAAUAGUCACAGAUCAACAGGGGCUUUCCGGCCAACUGCUGUAAUAAAAAAAUAAAAUAAAAAAUAAAAAGCAGGAAGCAGGAUGUUCCACUGAGGAAUAGAUCCUUCAAAAGCAACCUUGAAAGUACAAAGCAGCCACUUCAGCUUAGAUAUUAAUAAAGCUAAAAAGACCAUAUUAAUUCUGCAGAGUUAUCCUGACAGAGUCAAUACUCCUUUAACUUGUCCUUUAGUACAAGAACAAAAGGAUAUGUAUUAAAAAUCAAAGGGCAAUAAUUCUGGAACAACUAAAAAGGUAAAAUCUUGUAUUGCGUGCCAUGGAUCAUUAAUAUGUAUAAUUCAGCCCUGGGAGGUCAUGAAAUCAAAUACUUUCACUGGAUUUUUUAAAAAGGCUAAGAAACUUUGUGGCCAUUAAUAACAUUAUAAUUAUGUAGCCAAGAUAAU